rfam:Medicago truncatula strain A17 chromosome 4, whole genome shotgun sequence.
UCCUAUGAUGGCAUGAAAUCUUUGAGACCUGAAUUUUUAAUUUGAUGUCAGCUAUAAGCAUACUCACUGAGGAU